rnacentral:lncRNA from 1 species
CAAGACCAGCCUGGCCAACAAGGAUGAUAUUGAUGAUGAAAUGUCUUACGAUGAUCAUUUAGAGGUUUAUUUCGAACAACUGGCAAUUCCAGGAAUGAUGGAAUAAAGCAUACGAAGUAGAAGGACUGGAACCUCCAGAAAAAGUACUUUAAGUUACCUACAGGUGAUCCUAGUCAGGUAUGAAUUGAUAAGAAAUGCCUGCACCUUCCCUCCUUCCUAUCUUUCCCUUGCCUACAGAAAAUUAAAAGGCAAAACAAUGGACAUCUACAUAUUCUUCAUUCAGAUCAACCAGUGGCUAGCAUUUGCCACCUUUUGCAGUUUCUUUCUCUUUCCAUAAGUACUUUCUUCUCUGAAUCAUUUGAAAGCAAAUGAAAACAGUAGCCUAAAGUGUCAGUUUCAACCCGAAAAUAACAGCUCUGAUUUCUCAUGGCUCACACUCGUCUGAAAUGACUCGGGUAGAGGCUGAGGAAGGCUGUGUUGUUUGUCUACCUGGGACUACACCUACUGAAAGAAGUUCUCAAGUUCUGAUUGAGUUCUAAAAUUCUUUUGAAGAUUGGAAUUCUUCAUAUGUAAAAAGAGAAGAGAAAGACAUUCUUGAUUUUGGUGACUAGAGUUGUAGAUGCUGGAAGCUUUGCCACUAACAUUGAUGAACCAGAUGCAUGUCACCAGCCCAUCACGGUGAUUCUUAAUGCCGGCACCAUGGGCCGGCACUGCCACGUUUUCCAAGGAACCUGCCAGAGCUCCUGCGGAAGCUGCUCCUCGGGCGAUGGAGUCCCUUUGCUGCUAGGCCCUUCUUCAGUCACCACAGGAUGCCUGCCAUUCAUGAACAGGAAGGAGAGGACGGGCUUUGAAUAAAAAACAGGAUCCAGGAAAUAUUUGUGAGGCCAUUUGGACUUCAGUGUGAAAUGGUGUUAAAAGAUGAAGUCAUUUAUUCAAGAAGUAAACCUCUGCCACCUGGACUGUGCUCAGACAUUUCAUUGAUUUUGUUUAAUAAACAUUUUCUGGCUUUGG